UGCUACGGCUCCGAACGAACCUUCGAUUUUCUUAAGCUCCAAACUCAAGAACACAUCUUAUUAUGAUUAGAAUCUUCCACAAAAAGGUGAAAAUCCCUAAAUUCCCAGAAAAUCCCACCUUAAAUUCUCCAAAAAAAAUCGAUUCAGCUUCGUAUAAACCCUAAGAGGACGAAUUUUACGCGCGAUUCUCGGUGACAACUGAAGGUUUAUUCUUCUUUUGGCGUUACGAAAUUUGAGCCUCGCUUUCAUGUGCUUGGUACUGCUCUCUUGUCAUGCACAACUGUGUUAACAGGGUUUGUAACGUGGAGACUGUUUAUAAACUGAUGCAAUGGCAUCAUCUGGUAAAUUUGAUCUGUCAUCAGAUAGCCCAGAUAGACCGUUAUACACUACUGGGCAGCGUGCUUCUUAUAUAACUGGUUCAAUGGAUAGAUCAGCCAGUUUUAGUGAGAAUAUGGAAAAUCCCAUUUUAUCAUCUCUUCCAAGCAUGUCAAGGAGCACUUCAACCGUAACACAAGGGGACGUGACUAAUUUUUUACAAUGCUUGAGGUUUGAUCCCAAGUCAAUGGCUGCUGAAUAUAAGUUCAACCGCCAUGGGGAUUUUAAGCGGCUUGCAAGUGGUGCACUAGGUAUACCGGAUGAUUCACCAUCUGGUGCUUUCAAAGGCAAACCGACUUCUUCAUCUAGUGAAGAUCUUAAACGACUAAGGGCUGGUCUGCGUGAAUCCACCAUCAAGGCCAGGGAGCGAGUGAAGAUCUUCAGUGAGAGCUUGUCGGUUGUCAACAAGUGUUUUCCAAGUAUUCCUUCGAGGAAGAGAUCACGUCCAGAUUCUUUGUCUGGUGAUCCUGCUAAUGGCUUACUCGCUGAUCGUGCAGUUAUGGGGGGUGGUGUUGGUAAGAUAGGUACCCAGAAUCAUGUUCCCACUAGCGUUUUCGACUUUGAGCCUCAGAAAGUUGAAGAAAGAGGGAAAAAUACCGUUCCUAACAAACGAACCAGAACUUCUAUGAUGGAUCAAAGGGCGGAUGCACGUCCUAACACUCCUGCUAGAUCAACUGCAAGUGUAGACAAGGAUAAAGAAGUGUUAAGACCUUCCUCUAGCAAUGGUCUUCAGGGCGAGGGUCGUGCAUUGCCCAUUGUAUCUGAUGGUUGGGAAAAGGCUAAAAUGAAGAAAAAGCGUUCUGUAAUAAAGGCAGAUGCUGCUUCAAGUCCAAGCCCAGUGUCAACAAAACUGAUUGACGGAUACAGAGAACCGAAGCAAGGAAUACAUUCGAGGCACCUUACAGAUGGAAGGUCAAGGUUAACCGAUUCCUACGGAUUCAGGCCUGGAGCUGCUAAUGGGGUCAUUGGAGCAGGAAAAGCUGAUGGAAUCUCCCAACAAGCUAGUAUGGGUGGACGUUCAUCCAUCCCGAAGCCCGAGCAGGAGAGCGUGUCCCUCCAUGAUAAAAGAGAGAGAAUCAAUAGUUCAGAUAAAGAAAGGACAAAUAACCGAGCUGUUAAUAAGGCCGUUGUCCGAGAAGAAUUCAUUUCUGGUAGUCCCACCAGCUCAAGACUUCAUGGAACUGCUCGAGGGCCAAGAUCAGGAACAGGUGUUGGGCCUAAAUUUUCCCCGGUGGUACAACGGGCAACUGCUUCUAAUGAUUGGGACUUACCUCAUGGUACAAGUAAGAGCCCUGGAGCUGUUGGUUCCACCAAUCGUAAACGUACGCUAUCCGCACGUUCUUCAUCUCCACCAGUAACACAGUGGGCUGAUCGGAGGCCCCAGAAAAUAUCACGUACCGCAAGGAGAACCAAUCUUGUCCCAAUUGUAUCUAGUAAUGACGAAAUUCCCGCUCUGGAUCCCAGUGAUGUUACUGGUAGUGAAAAUGGGCCCGGGUUUGCUAGACGGUUUCAGAACUCUCCUCGGCUGGCCAAAUCAAAAGGUGAUCAUCUUCCGUCAUCUGCACUAUCAGAAAGCGAGGAGUCGGGUGUUGCUGAAUUUAGAUUUAGGGACAAGGGCAAGAAAUUUGAUGAAGUGGAAGAUAAAAGUGGACAAAAUGUUCAAAAGAUGUCAACUCCAUUCCUCCCAACGAGAAAAAACAAGCAGGCGAAUGGGGAAGAUCAUGUCGAUGGAGUCCGUAGACAAGGCAGAACUGGGCGUGGUUUUGGUCCUGCACGGGUUGUUAACCAAACGACGGUUGAAAAGCGUGGCAACAUGGGAACUGCAAAACAACUUAGAACUGCCAGACUUUCUUUCGACAAGUCUGAAAGUAAAUCAGGUAGACCACCCACUAGGAAACUUGCAGACCGCAAAGCAUAUACACGCCAAAAACACACUGCAGUUAAUGCUGCUGCAGAUUCUCUUGUUGGCUCAGUUGACGGACACGAAGAGCUUUUGGCAGCAGAGAGUGCAGUUAUUAAUUCUAGUCAUGCAUUAUCCAGCCCAUUCUGGAGGCAAAUGGAACCAUUUUUUGCUUUUUUAUCCGAUAUGGACAUAUCCUUUUUGAAGCAACAGGGAAGUAUUCAAUCCAUUGUCACUACCACAAAUCCAGUAUCUUUAGACGUUGAUAGUUCCAAUACGUUUUCUAACGGGCCCAAAGUGGUUGAACCUGCAAAGAACGGAACAAACAGAAAUCUUGAAGUAAACCCUGAACUGUUACUGCCAGAAACAUCAAAUCCCGGGGGAACUCCCCUCUGUCAAAGACUUCUUGCUGCUCUAAUUACAGAAGAAGACGAUGACCCAACCUGCAGUGGAAACGAUGACCUCAAAUUUAAUGUCUAUGGAUCCACAUUCGAGCUUGGAACAGAUGCAGAAUCAGAAGUUUUCAGUCAGCCGUCAUUGCAGAACUUGGAGCUUAAUGGGCAUGAUGCUUUUGGUGUUUAUGGGAAAAUUUCCUCACCAAGAUCCUAUAACCAUAGAAUGUCGAUGCCCGUUUCAGAAAUUGCUAAAGGUCUUGAUCACUCCUACAGUGGUCUACUUUCAGAUCCAGAGAUGACAUCUGGCACAACCUGUUCAGAAUAUCAUUAUGGCAACAUGUCCAUGAACGAAAAGCUACUUCUUGAAAUUCAGAGCAUUGGACUCUACCCGGAACUAGUGCCUGAUUUAGCACACACUGGGGAUGAGGACAUCGGUGAGGAUAUCAGUGACCUGGAAAGAAAGCACCAUGAACAGGUUUUAAGGAAGAAAAGCCUGCUCGACAAAUUGUUAAAGUCUGCUACAGAAGCAAGGGAGCUUCAAGAAAAGGAAUUUCAGCAGCAUUCUCUUGACAAACUCAUCGGAAUGGCUUAUCAGAAGUACAUGAGUUGUUGGGGCCCUAAUGCGCCUGUAGGAAAGAGUGCUAGUAGCAAACUUGCCAAGCAAACUGCUUUAGCUUUUGUCAAACGGACAUUAGAGCGAUGUCAGGAAUUUGAAACAACAGGCAAAAGCUGCUUCACUGAGCCAUUAUUUAGGGAAAUGUUCAUCUCCGGAUCAUCACACCUCAACGAUGAACAAUUAGUUGCUGUGAAUGAUGUUGGAUCUGGUCAAAUCUAUGGAAAUUCCAUGGAAAGAGUUUCAGGUACACAACCGAGUCCUUCAUUAAGCAAUCAUGACAUAUAUUUGUCUGUAAACCACUCAUCCGAGCAAACUAUUGGCAAAGAUGAGAUAUGGUCAAGCAGGGUCAAGAAGAAGGAGUUGUAUCUUGAUGAUGUUGUUGCUGGUACUUCUGCAGGAACACCGACUAGCACCGGAACAGCGAGUCUGAAUGGUGCAAAAGGAAAAAGGAGCGAUAGAGACAGAGAAUGGAAGGGUAACGGUUCAUUUAAAGUUGGGCGGCCUGCAUCCAGCAGUGCCAAGGGUGAAAGAAAGGCGAAAACAAAGCUUAAACAGAAAACAACUCAGUUAUCUGCUUCUGUCAAUGGUCCAUUGGGCAAGAUUUCAGAUCAGCAUAAACCAACAGUGUCUUCAGUACCAAAGUCGGUUGAAAUAAAAACCAAGGAAAACGACAAAUACGAGUCGUUGGAAGAUUCUGAGGAGCCACUUGAUUUUUCGCACCUGCAACUUCCUGAAAUGGAUGCUCUUGGUGUUGGAGAUGAUUUUGGAGAGCAAGGGCAGGAUAUAGGUUCGUGGUUGAAUAUCGAUGAGGAAGUAUUACAGGAUGAUGACUUUAUGGGUCUCGAGAUUCCAAUGGAUGAUCUAUCGGAGCUAAAUAUGAUGGUUUAAAGUCGGUUUUCAUGUAUAGACAUGUUCAGUAUACUACCUACAGAUGAGAAUGUGACGUUCAAGUGAUUUUCCAUUCGGUAAUUAGGCUACAGAUUCUUUUUUAGAACCCCUGAAGAAGUUAAUAUUUGAGAGAACCCUUUGGAUGUUUUUUCCGGAUUUUGCUGCUAUUUUAAGAUAGUGACUUUUAGACUGUAAAAAUCUUUUUGUCUUUACCUACGAGCUAGUUUGCUCCUCUCACCAUAUCUUAGGAAAUACUGUAUUCUGGUUGUAGCAUUUACAAAUUGGGGCACAACGACCCUUGUACAUACAACUUAUGUUUUUCAAUAAGAUAGGUUCAUUUAUAAGAUAAACAAGUCCAUAAUCAUAUAAAGAACACAUAUUUUGUGUUGGUUCUAUCUUUUUCUUCAUAUACAUAUUCUAACAGCCUCUUCAAGUUCUUUUGUCCAUAUACAGUUGCAAAUGUGGUAAAGAACUGGCUUCUGUGGCUGCAUUUUGAUGAAUAGUAUAUGAAGACAGGCCCUAUAUGCUGCUGUACAUGUUCGGAUGGGAGAACCAUGGUGCCUUGUGCAAGUCUGGAUGCUUCACUCCCAGGACCUUUCAGAGAGAGAAGUGGAGUGCUUCAACUUGAUUCUUUUGGACAGUCUAAAAGGAUAUGAAGUUGCAUAGCCCCUUUACAUCUUUGAGCUCGUAUUGCAAAGGUAUGUGCUUCAUGCUCACCAUUUGUUUUGUUAAACAUAGGAAAUAAACCCCCUCGCCAUAAUCGUUCAAGUGUUACAAAUCAAUAUUUGCAUCAUGGUAUCGUUGUUAAACUAUGUGUGUGUGUGUGUUAUUGUGUGGUGGGUGAGAGUGAUGGCACUAUAAAAACCCUAUGCCAUUAAGUUUUGAUGGCACUAUAUUCUCCAAUUUGUCAAUGCUUUGUUGGUAAACCCAACUUUUGAUGUCUGUUUUACACUUAUUCUUUGCACAAACCUGCUGAAAAACAUUUCGGUGAAGUCAACUUUUUAUACACUUAUUGUAUCAGUAAAACAUGUCAUUGAAGUCAAAUUUCGUUUCUUUUUCUUUCAACAAAAAAUAUUGAAACCAUCAUCUUUUACUUGCUCUCUAGAGAAUGGAGGUGAGACUUGAAUUCUUGGCCUUGCAUCACUUCUGACCCGAUUCUAAUACACUAUAAUGGGUAGUAAAAGGUAGGGAAAUUGUCCAA